AUGGCCAAGGAGCGCGCCGCGGGCGACCAGAUUGCGGCUUGGUUCGACCCCAAGGCGCGCGACAUGGGGGACGGGGACAUGGCGGCCUUCUUUGCCGCCCUGAUGCAGGUCAAGGACGUCGUCUCCGACCGCGCCAACCAGGUUCUCCUCGAGGCGUUUCAGUUCGACGUGAGCCGCAUGGCGGAGGUGGCCCCGCCGCCGCCGCCCCAGAUCUUCGGUGGCAGCAUGUUCGAGUUCGGUAGCAGCAGCGGCAGCGCCAACGACGGGACGGACUUCCAGUUUCUGGUGCCUCCGCCACAGGAGCAGGGGUUCCAGGCCGGGAUGGAUAUGCAGCAGAUGGUGAUGCCUCUGCCGCCGGGGUUGGCCGGCGGGCUGGAUAUGGAGCAGCAGAUGCAGAUGACGAUUCCUCCGCCGCCGGGGCUGGCCGCCGGGAUGGAUAUGGAGCAGAUGCAGAUGACGAUGCCUAAGCCGCCGGGGUUCGACGCAGGGAUAGAGAUGGAGAUAGACCAAUGGCUUAAUGUGAUGCUGCCGCCUCCGGAGUUCCCUGCCGGGAUGGAGACGGUGCAGCAGGGGCUCCAUCAACCGAACGCCGGCUUCCCGUACUGA
rnacentral:rRNA from 1 species